rnacentral:tRNA from 1 species
GGGUGUAGUUCAGUUGGUAGAGCACCGGUCUCCAAAACCGGCUGUCGUGGGUUCAAGUCCUACCGCCC